CUGGGAGUGUGCAGGGGGCCCGGACUGAGGGGGUGCCAGCCCCCGACUCACUCACACACCUUGGCCGCCACAGGAGCCAGGGAGUAACGAAGAGAUCAAAGAGUUCGCCGCGGGCUACAACGUCAAAUUCGAUAUGUUCAGCAAGAUCUGCGUGAACGGGGACGACGCCCACCCGCUGUGGAAGUGGAUGAAGAUCCAACCCAAGGGCAAGGGCAUCCUGGGAAAGUGCGUGACCUCUGGGGACAGUACGGCUGCUGGGGUGGG
rnacentral:lncRNA from 1 species